GACGAACGCUGGCGGCGUGCUUAACACAUGCAAGUCGAACGGAAAGGCCCUGCUUUUGUGGGUUGCUCGAUUGGCGAACGGGUGAGUAACACGUGAGUAACCUGCCCUUGACUUUGGGAUAACUUCAGGAAACUGGGGCUAAUACCGGAUAGGAUCUCCUGCUGCAUGGUGGGGGUUGGAAAGUUUCGGCGGUUGGGGCUGUACUCGCUGCUUAUCCGCUUGUUGGUGGGGUAGUGGCUUACCAAGGCUUUGACGGGUAGCCGGCCUGAGAGGGUGACCGGCCACAUUGGGACUGAGAUACGGCCCAGAAUCCUACGGGAGGCAGCAGUGGGGAAUAUUGCACAAUGGGCGGAAGCCAGAUGCAGCAACGCCGCGUGCGGGAUGACGGCCUUCGGGUUGUAAACCGCUUUCGACUGUGACGAAGCGGGAGUGACGGUAAUGGGUAAAGAAGCACCGGCUAACUACGUG
rnacentral:rRNA from 1 species